UAGACCUCAUGUGGCAAUGUGAAAUGGGUCAAACAAAGAAAAAUAAUGCAAGUACGAAAAUGUCAAAAAGCGUAAUUCUGUUCCAGAUGAUAUACACGUUGCUUGGAUCCUUGGGUAGUUUCGUGGAUUUGAAGAAGUCUUACUUCCCUUCCAUUUUGUGAGCUCUGAGGUGAUUGACGCGGCCAGAGGGGGAACUAGAGACUCUUCUACAGACGGGACAGACAGUUGUUGUCUAACAGGGCAGACAGGCAGUCAUGGACCAGGAAUUCCCCAGAUCAAUGGAGAUGUUACAUUCUUCCAAGAAGGCUUGAAACACAUUCUUGAAUCUUUACUUCUGCUUGAUGUGUCUUCUCUUCAAGGUGAUAGAUCUUGGAAACAGGAAGUUUGUUUUGUGAGUCUCAUGUCGAAUCACCACAUGUGACUGAUAUAGCCUGCCCAAAAGACAAAAUACUGAGGGCCUUAAUACUGAGGGUCUUGGCCUAUGAGUAGAAACUGAUCCUAGUUCACUUUGUUCUCUUCUGUGAAAUUGGACGAUUUUGCAGAGAAAGCCUUUAGAUUCAGGGACAAGGUACCUUUCAAAUGCUCUGGGAUGCAGUGCCAGCGAAUGCCUGGCUCCCAUCCUUAGCUCUGAACAGUCAGAAAGAGAUAAGCUAGUCUGUGUCACAUGUUUUCCAAUUAUGUAUGAGUGCUAUUGUUAUUUUAAAGAAGCACUUUCCUCAGUAUAAAAACAAUUACAAAGAUAAUGCUAUUUAUAACACAAUGACAUAAAUAACAAUGAAAUGUCACAAAUUUCAGUUAAAAAUGGCAUUGACAGAAAAAGAGUCAAGGGCACUGAAAACCCUUUCUGAAAACAUUUGUUUAGUGGUCGUAUGGAUUUACCUGAAAUAUAGUUUUAUUAUUCCAUAUUCAAGUGCAAAAGGAUUUGUUUGUUUGUUUUAUCGACUACACAAAAGCAUUUGAUAAAGUGAAGCACAGUAAGUUAUUUGAAAUAUUACAGGAAGCUGUAGAUCUAGAUUUGAAAGACCUCCACCUAAUAAGAAAUCUGUACUAGGAACAAACUGCCACUGUAAGAUUAGAUGGAGAAGUGAGUCAGUUUACAAAAAUCAAGAGAGGCAUUAGACAAGGGUGUGUUUUCUCCCCUGAUUUGUUAAAUGUGUACAGUGAAACAAUAUUACAAAAAAAUAAGAGACAUCUUGGGAAUCAAAGUUGGCGGUGAAAACAUCAAUAAUUUCAGAUAUGCGGAUGACACUGCAAGUACAGAGGAAGAACUACAAAACUUAAUUGAUAUAGUUGUUGAAGAAAGUGCAAAAUUGGGUCUAUCUAUUAAUUGCAAAAAGACGGAAUGUAUGGUGAUAUCGAAAAAGAAGGAGAAUCCUAUCUGCAGGCUGAGAAUAAACAGGGAAGACAUAAAACAAGUACAGAACUUUUGCUACUUAGGAAGCUGUGUGACAUCAGAUGGCAGGUGCGAAUGGAUAUCAAAAGAAGAAUAGACACCUUUACGAGAAUGAAGAGUGUACAGACCAACACUAAACUAGGCAUGACAACCUGCCUUAGAGCACUGAAAUGUUACGUUUAUCCAGUUAUGUUAUAUGGUUCAGAAUGUUGGACAAUAUCUAGUAACAUGAGGAAACGAAUUAAAGCAGUAGAUAUGUGGUUUUUGAGAAGGAUGCAAAGCAUAUCAUGGAUGAAACGAAUAUCUGAUGAUGAUGUCAUGAACAGAGCAAGCACAAAAAGAGAAAUAAUGUAUGAGAUCAUGAAAAGGCAACACGACUUCAUUGAACAUGUGACUAGGAAAGAGGAGUUAGAAUGCACGGUAAUUAUGGGAAAGACUGAAGGGAAGAAAGCAAGAGGAAGGCAAAGACAAAUGAUGAUGGAGACAGCAAUCAGAGAACUGGAAAUGAAUACCAAUGAAUUGAUCUACUUGACCCAAAGCAGGAGUGCGUGAGCCAUGGCAGUCAAAGCUCAAACUGGGCAUGGCACCUGAUGAUGAUGAUAAUUAUUCCAUAACAUUUUUCUGAUAUCCAGUUACAUUUACCUAUAUAAAUUGUGCUGUGGACUAUUUAAAAUAAAUGCUAAAGAACAAACAAAAUACAAAAAUGUAACAAGCUAGAAAAGUUUUUUAACAUUUCCUUUGCAGAUAUCAAAAAUAUAUAUGCAAGAACGCAUCAGUAUCCUAACUCACAAAUGACAGCUGAUGCUUGAAUCUUAUCAUCUCAUAAAACCUCUCCACUGAAAGGAAACUUCUUUCAGAACUUACAAGAAAUGCAUAUGGCAUUUUCUUUAUUUUGCUGUCAUUUCCCCUUUUAAUGCCCCCAACACAUAUGGGUUGCAAAUGUCAUUCUGCAUGGCUGAAAAUAAUCUCAGUGCGUGAAGAGUUAAAGCAGCUAAAAAUGUUCGUUUUUCAACGUCAUGCCGUAAUUAUAAGGUUUGUACCUUCUGACACCAUGCAAUAGCCUUUGAAUUGGACUGAUAAAAGAUAUAAUUAUCUUCCAGUUGCAGAAGUCAGCAACAUUGAUGGUGACUCCACAUGUUACUUCUUUUUAAUUUUGUACCAAAAUAUUGGAAUAUAAAUAAAUCAACAUUUCCAGUAAUUGUUAGCACAGUUCGAAAAGGAAAAUUGCUUGCCAGCAGGACAAAAUAACAGUUGUGACUAUAUUCGUCUGUCAGCAAAUACCCCAAAAUUUGAGAUAAACUAUUGCAUUAAUCACGCACAAAUGCACAGAUUUUCAAAAUGCUGAUUACUCAUUUCAUUUGACACAUCUCAAAUAUCCAAAUUAAUUACAAAAUCAUGGCACAGAUUCUGCAGCAGAAAUUUUCAACAAAAAGCUAAUUAAUUGUGAUUCAUUUGGCAUUAGUUAAGCAAAGUCUGCCCACUUCCAGCUGUGCCAUAGUAUCGUCUGGUAAGCAGUUAUACCGAAGUCCAUAAAGGGAGAAGGAAAAGCUGGAAGAAUCCCAACCAACACAAAUCAGGAAUCUACAUAUUAACAAUAUAGUGCAGACUACAGACUGUAGUAUUGUUAUGCAGUGUGUGUAACUUGCACAUUCUGUUUUAUUAUGCUAAACAAAAUGGCAAAUGGCAAAUGUAAGAAACCUGCUAUUAUUUGUACUGCACAAUGCCACUUCUAA